GACGAACGCUGGCGGCGUGCUUAACACAUGCAAGUCGAACGGAAAGGCCCUGCUUUUGUGGGGUGCUCGAGUGGCGAACGGGUGAGUAACACGUGAGUAACCUGCCCUUGACUUUGGGAUAACUUCAGGAAACUGGGGCUAAUACCGGAUAGGAGCUCCUGCUGCAUGGUGGGGGUUGGAAAGUUUCGGCGGUUGGGGAUGGACUCGCGGCUUAUCAGCUUGUUGGUGGGGUAGUGGCUUACCAAGGCUUUGACGGGUAGCCGGCCUGAGAGGGUGACCGGCCAGAUUGGGACUGAGAUAGGGCCCAGACUCCUACGGGAGGCAGCAGUGGGGAAUAUUGCACAAUGGGCGGAAGCCUGAUGCAGCAACGCCGCGUGCGGGAUGACGGCCUUCGGGUUGUAAACCGCUUUCGCCUGUGACGAAGCGUGAGUGACGGUAAUGGGUAAAGAAGCACCGGCUAACUACGUG
rnacentral:rRNA from 1 species